GUCUUGACCUAAGGAGUCCUGGAAUCAGACAGUGUAAGCAAGGGGUCUGCUAGAAUUUUCAGCUGUAGUGGAGAUGAACAAUGAUGGGAGCUGGACGUAACAAAGCCUCAUUUACAUAAUUCAGUAUUUUUCCUACCCCUGGGGAAAAUCACUUUGAAGAAUGCAGCAAAUUAUUUUGUAUACUACAUCCAAGGCUAC
rnacentral:lncRNA from 1 species